rnacentral:lncRNA from 1 species
AGAACAUAUCAAGCAAUCUCAAGAGCAUAACUCCAAAAGAAGAUUGGUAGACUUGCAAACCCCAUCAUGAAUCGAACCAUAUCUAAUAGUGUUCGAUUCCUCAUUUCUUACAUCACUUUAUAUUGUGAUAUCUCAGGAGGUGUCCAUUAUGAGAUAAUCCUAUUCUCUCAUAGAUAUGUCAAAAACUUAUUGGAAAGAUAUCACCCCCU